rnacentral:tRNA from 1 species
UCCCAUGUAGCUCAGUGGUAAAGAACCUGCCUGCCAAGCAGGAGAUGCAGGUUCGAUCCCUAGGUUCGGAA